AUUGAACGCUGGCGGCAUGCCUUACACAUGCAAGUCGAACGGUAACGGGCCUUCGGGUGCCGACGAGUGGCGAACGGGUGAGUAAUGCAUCGGAACGUACCUUUCAGUGGGGGAUAACGUAGCGAAAGUUACGCUAAUACCGCAUAUUCUGUGAGCAGGAAAGCAGGGGAUCGCAAGACCUUGCGCUGAUUGAGCGGCCGAUGUCAGAUUAGCUAGUUGGUGAGGUAAAGGCUCACCAAGGCGACGAUCUGUAGCGGGUCUGAGAGGAUGAUCCGCCACACUGGAACUGAGACACGGUCCAGACUCCUACGGGAGGCAGCAGUGGGGAAUUUUGGACAAUGGGGGCAACCCUGAUCCAGCCAUGCCGCGUGAGUGAAGAAGGCCUCGG
rnacentral:rRNA from 1 species